AUUGAACGCUGGCGGCAGGCCUAACACAUGCAAGUCGAGCGGUAGCACAGAGAGCUUGCUCUCGGGUGACGAGCGGCGGACGGGUGAGUAAUGUCUGGGAAACUGCCUGAUGGAGGGGGAUAACUACUGGAAACGGUAGCUAAUACCGCAUAACGUCGCAAGACCAAAGUGGGGGACCUUCGGGCCUCAUGCCAUCAGAUGUGCCCAGAUGGGAUUAGCUUGUAGGUGAGGUAACGGCUCACCUAGGCGACGAUCCCUAGCUGGUCUGAGAGGAUGACCAGCCACACUGGAACUGAGACACGGUCCAGACUCCUACGGGAGGCAGCAGUGGGGAAUAUUGCACAAUGGGCGCAAGCCUGAUGCAGCCAUGCCGCGUGUGUGAAGAAGGCCUUCGGGUUGUAAAGCACUUUCAGCGGGGAGGAAGGCGAUAAGGUUAAUAACCUUGCCGAUUGACGUUACCCGCAGAAGAAGCACCGGCUAACUCCGUGCCAGCCGCCGCCGUAAAAC
rnacentral:rRNA from 1 species